GGUCAAGUCCUGUGCAACAAAACCUUGCCGAACUCCGCCAGGUCCGGAAGGAAGCAACGGUAGGCAGGAGAGUUUGUGUGACACAGGGUAGCUUGACCUCA
rnacentral:SRP_RNA from 1 species